CUAUCCGUAGCUCAGCUGGAUAGAGCGUCAGACUCCGACUCUGAAGGCCACAGGUUCGAAUCCUGCCGGGUAGACCA
rnacentral:tRNA from 1 species